GACGAACGCUGGCGGCGUGCUUAACACAUGCAAGUCGAACGAAGAGCGACGGAAGCUUGCUUCUAUCAAUCUUAGUGGCGAACGGGUGAGUAACGCGUAAUCAACCUGCCCUUCAGAGGGGGACAACAGUUGGAAACGACUGCUAAUACCGCAUACGAUCUAAUCUCGGAAUCGAGGAGGGAUUAAAGGUUGCCGCUACAUGUAAGCUAGCACUGAGAGAGGUGAUUGGGCCUGGUUAGGUCGUUGGAGGGGUAACGUCCCUCCAAGGCGAUGAUCAGUAGCCGGUCGGAGAGGAUGGACGGCCAAAUUGGGACUGAGACCCGGCCCAGAACGCUACGGGAGGCAGCCGGGGGGAAUCUUUCGACAAGGAGGAAAGUCUGGCGGAGGAACGCCGCGGGAGUGAUGACGGCCUUCGGGUUGGAAAGGUCGGUUAAUCGGGACGAAAGGCCUUCUUGCGAAUAGUGAGAAGGAUUGACGGUACCGGAAUAGAAAGCCACGGCUAACUACGUG
rnacentral:rRNA from 1 species